rnacentral:rRNA from 1 species
CCGAGAGAGUGGCGGACGGGUGAGUAAUGUCUGGGAAACUGCCUGCUGGAGGGGGAUAACUACUGGAAACGGUAGCUAAUACCGCAUACCCUCAUAUAUGCCCAGAUGGGAUUAGCUCGUUGGUGGGGUAACGUCUCCCCAAGGCGACGAUCCCUAGCUGGUCUGAGAGGAUGACCGUCAACACUGGAAUUGAGACACGGUCCAGACUCUGACGGGAGGCAGCAGUGGGGAAUAUUGCACAAUGGGCGCAAGCCUGAGGCAGCCAUGCCGCGUGUAUGAAGAAGGCCUUAGGGUUGUAAAGUACUUGCAGCGGGGAGGCGUUACCCGAAGAAGAAGCACCGGCUAACUCCGUGCCAGCAGCCGCGGUAAUUA